rnacentral:lncRNA from 7 species
GCUCAGAAGGCAUUAGCUGGCUGCUGAACACAACCAUCUUGAACCUGCGGAGUGAAGGUGCAGAAAUAUGGGAAAGUAAACAAAUAGUGUGUGAAGCAGCACCAGGAAUUAAGCCAUCCCAAGCAAGCCAUCUGAAUAAACAGGCUCCGGAAGGCCUUUAAAGGAUGGGAUGUAACAUGGAGCCGAGCAGUUGGCAAACACUGAUUUUAAGUGCAUUUGUACUUUGCUGACUGAUCCCGGAAUGGUCAAAGGUAAAUAAUCUCUUUGCACUGUGUGAAGAAGGCUUCGGUCUUUGGUUCGGCUCGGAGCAGUCAAGUAGCAACAGGAAGACUCUGUUGUGGAGAGCACUGGAUGGUUUUCUCAACAGGCCAACUCAUGCUUCAUGAAAACAUUCACAGAUGCUUGCAGUGUUGAGGUUUAUGUCAGUUAUGGCCAUCAAAAGUCAUUUCUUCAUGAGAAAGAGGAACAGAUGGAAAAAGAGAGACCAGGAUGUGCUAGAGAUGACUCUCCAAUGCCUGUGGUACAUCAGGGGAAGGGCACUGCACAGCCAGCAGAGCUAUCCUUCCCCAAGGCAUAGCUGACAUAUCCCCUUGCCUGGGAGACCUGGCAAGUGAAUCUGACAUCAUUUCAUAGCUACCUGCAUGCCUUUCCUUUUUAAUUCACAGGCAUGGGAGUUCAUGUGGAAACUCCAAAGCUGUACUGGACCAAUGUGGGAACAUACAUAUAUAAGCCACAAUUCAGAAUCUAGUUCCACAUCUGCCCAUCUCAGGCUCUCUGCUGGAAAAGAAGCAUUUGGGGCAGAAGCUACGUGAGAAUAAUGAAAGGAACAGACUUAUACUUUGUCUCACUGAAAAAAUUGAGUUUCCUUAACAAACAGUGGAAUAGCAAUAAACUUCCCAGUAGGUAAAAGCAAACCCAUGCUGGUUACUGCUGUAUAUUCACAGCUGGCCUCACCUACCCUAUCUUGCCUGUGGGCAUGAGAUCAGUUCGUUCCACGAGUCACCCAGCUCUUGGUGCCAAAAAACUAAAGUUCCUGCCCAUCACAUCCGAGGCAGACAUUUCAAAGUUAAACACCUAGUCUGUUUUCAAUUUUUCCUUCAAAUACCAGAAGAGAUUGCACCACAUUAUGGGCUAAUCGCCUGUCAAAUUUAAUUUCUUAAGCUGAGGCUGCUUUAGAGCCAAGUGAAUGAAAAGGAAAAAAUAUCCUGUCCAAAUCCACUAAAUUAUUAUUUUUUAUGCCUGCGUAGUUACCUAGAAAUAGGAGCUCUUUCUUAACCUUCUUGUUUAACUUUAUGGCAAAUAUGUUACUGACAGAGUAGGGCAUUACAUGCAAAAUUUGAUCUUCCAAUAGGUCUUCAUGUCUAAAUUGUGAUGAACUAAAUUUCAUGAAAGUAGUUCUAGGUCCAGCUAGGAGCAAAGUCCUCCUCUGUAAUUAUUGCUGAAGAUCAAACACAGACCUUCGACUUUGCUCUGUUGGAGCAAGACUUCUCACUUUACAUAUAUCACUGUCCACCUAAGGAUCGCACAGUGACAUAAAGGUUUAAUGCUGUUCAGUC